GCCGGGGUAGCUCAGCGGUAGAGCACGCGGCUGAAAACCGCGGUGUCGGCGGUUCGAUUCCGCCCCCCGGCACCA
rnacentral:tRNA from 2 species